rnacentral:rRNA from 1 species
CAGCCGCCGCGGUAAUACGGAGGGUGCAAGCGUUAAUCGGAAUUACUGGGCGUAAAGCGCACGCAGGCGGUUUGUUAAGUCAGAUGUGAAAUCCCCGGGCUCAACCUGGGACCUGCAUUUGUGACUGUAUAGCUAGAGUACGGUAGAGGGGGAUGGAAUUCCGCGUGUAGCAGUGAAAUGCGUAGAUAUGCGGAGGAACACCGAUGGCGAAGGCAAUCCCCUGGACCUGUACUGACGCUCAUGCACGAAAGCGUGGGGAGCAAACAGGAUUAGAUACCCCAGUAGUCCCUGUCUCUUAUAC